rnacentral:rRNA from 1 species
GACGAACCGUGCGAACGUUGUUCGGAAUCACUGGGCUUAAAGGGAGCGUAGGCGGGCUAUCAAGUCUGGGGUGAAAUCCCGCGGCUCAACCGUGGAACUGCCUCAGAUACUGACGGCCUCGAGGGAGAUAGGGGCAUGCGGAACUGUAGGUGGAGCGGUGAAAUGCGUUGAUAUCUACAGGAACUCCGGUGGCGAAAGCGGCGUGCUGGAUCUCUUCUGACGCUGAGGCUCGAAAGCUAGGGGAGCAAACGGG